GUCAAUGGGCGGAAGCCUGAACCAGCCAAGUCGCGUGAGGGAAGACGGUCCUAUGGAUUGUAAACCUCUUUUGCAGGGGAGCAAGGCGCGGUACGUGUACCGCGAAGGAGAGUACCCUGAGAAAAAGCAUCGGCUAACUCCGUGCCAGCAGCCGCGGUAAUACGGAGGAUGCGAGCGUUAUCCGGAUUUAUUGGGUUUAAAGGGUGCGCAGGCGGACUGUUAAGUCAGCGGUAAAAUGUCGGUGCUCAACACCGGCCGGCCGUUGAAACUGGCAGCCUUGAGUGAGCGAGAAGUAUGCGGAAUGCGUGGUGUAGCGGUGAAAUGCAUAGAUAUCACGCAGAACUCCGAUUGCGAAGGCAGCAUACCGGCGCUCAACUGACGCUCAGGCACGAAAGCGUGGGUAUCGAACAGGCUUAGAUACCCUGGUAGUCCACGCAGUAAACGAUGAAUG
rnacentral:rRNA from 1 species